UCUGUCCCUCUGUUGACAUCAGCUUCAACAAUCAACCAAUUCCUGGUACUGAAAUGUGGUUAAUGGAUUUGCCAUGAAAAUGCCAUAACCGUGGAAUAUUUCUUUCACACAGUGUAGAUAACUGUGGACUUGGAUCCUUCCCAGAAGUCACCCAGUUGUCGUGCUUUCAUCAUAAGCUACAGAACAUCAACCAAACAAAGAUUUAAAUUACAGUAACUGGGAAUGUAGCAAUUCCUAUCCAUCUCUCAGGACACGUCAAGACAAGUCCAUUAUAUCAUUUGUCUUUAACAUUUCCAUAUAUAUUUAUAUAUUUUGCAACAAAUAUGAUUUUGGUGUCAGUGAGACCAAACAGUUGUCAUUAAAACAGACCCUAUUAGAAAUAAGUGCAAAAAUUAAACCAUUUUAAAACAGAUUUUAGACAGAGGUGCUACCAGCAUUGUGUUCCAGUGGUAUCUGUUAGCCACUUCUGACAUUAGCAUCUCCAGAAUCGCAAAAUAACUGAGUGGCACUAGUGCACAGGUUAUGGAUUUUUUUCUUUUUUCUUUUUUCCCCCUCUACAUACUUUGAUUUACAACUUUGAUUGAAUUAUGUACAAUUCAAUAUUACACCAUAAACAUUAAGCUUCUUUUUUUUUGUUUUUAUAAGUGAAAAGAAAUAGGUUUCUGUGACCAGGCCUUUUGACAAACACUGGGCUAAAUGUUAA